rnacentral:rRNA from 1 species
UGGGGAAUAUUGGACAAUGGGGGAAACCCUGAUCCAGCAAUGCCGCGUGAGUGAAGAAGGCCUUAGGGUUGUAAAGCUCUUUCGCCCGCGAAGAUAAUGACGGUAGCGGGAGAAGAAGCCCCGGCUAACUCCGUGCCAGCAGCCGCGGUAAUACGGAGGGGGCUAGCGUUGUUCGGAAUUACUGGGCGUAAAGCGUACGUAGGCGGAUGCGCAAGUUGGGGGUGAAAUCCCGGGGCUUAACCUCGGAAUUGCCCUCAAAACUGCACGUCUUGAGACCGAGAGAGGUAAGGGGAAUUCCUAGUGUAGAGGUGAAAUUCGUAGAUAUUAGGAAGAACACCAGUGGCGAAGGCGCCUUACUGGCUCAGUACUGACGCUGAGGUACGAAAGCGUGGGGAGCAAACA